UACGUAGGGGGCAAGCGUUGUUCGGAAUUACUGGGCGUAAAGGGCGCGUAGGCGGCACGGCAAGUCAGGAGUGAAAGGCCUGGGCUCAACCGAGGAACUGCUUUUGAGACUGCCGAGCUAGAGUGCGGAAGGGGCAACCGGAAUUCCCAGUGUAGCGGUGAAAUGCGUAGAUAUUGGGAAGAACACCUGAGGCGAAGGCGGGUUGCUGGGCCGACACUGACGCUGAGGCGCGAAAGCGUGGGGAGCGAACAGG
rnacentral:rRNA from 1 species